GACGAACGCUGGCGGCGUGCUUAACACAUGCAAGUCGAACGGAAAGGCCUGCUUUCCCUUGUGGAUUGCGGGUACUCGAGUGGCGAACGGGUGAGUAACACGUGAGUGAUCUGCCCCCAACUUGGGUAUAAGCCUGGGAAACUGGGUCUAAUUCCCGAUAGGACUGCAGGGUGGUGCCUGUGGUGGAAAACGAUUUUCUAGUGGUUGGGGAUGAGCUCGCGGCCUAUCAGCUUGUUGGUGGGGUAAUGGCCUACCAAGGCGGCGACGGGUAGCCGGCCUGAGAGGGUGGACGGCCACAUUAGGACUGGGACACGGCCCAGACUCCUACGGGAGGCAGCAGUGGGGAAUAUUGCACAAUGGGCGGAAGCCUGAUGCAGCGACGCCGCGUGGGGGAUGACGGCCUUCGGGUUGUAAACUCCUUUCGACCGCGAGGAAGCCACCUGGUUGGAAGGGUGGUGACGGUAGUGGUAGAAGAAGCACCGGCUAACUACGUG
rnacentral:rRNA from 1 species